UACGGGGGGAGCAAGGCGUUGUUCGGAUUUACUGGGCGUAAAGGGCGCGUAGGCGGUCAGCACAAGUCAGUUGUGAAAUCUCCGGGCUUAACUCGGAAAGGUCAACUGAUGCUGUGCGACUAGAGUGCGGAAGGGGCAACUGGAAUUCUCGGUGUAGCGGUGAAAUGCGUAGAUAUCGAGAGGAACACCUGCGGCGAAGGCGGGUUGCUGGGCCGACACUGACGCUGAGUGCGCGAAAGCCAGGGGAGCAAACGGG
rnacentral:rRNA from 1 species